AUUAUUAUUAGUCAAAAUAAAUGUUGGUAUUAAAAUUUUUGUUUUCGGUCAGUCUGUUGAUGAGAUAAUCCACUUUUAAGUUUGGGUUGGGGCAAAUUGUUGGUGAAUUAUUAUUAACACGCUGCGCGUCGUACCGUCCACAAGUGAUACUCCACUAUUCUCCUUCAACACAAACUUAAAAGUGGAAUAUCU